UACGUAGGGGGCAAGCGUUAUCCGGAAUUACUGGGUGUAAAGGGAGCGUAGACGGUUAAGUAAGUCUGGAGUGAAAGGCCGGGGCCCAACCCCCGGACUGCUUUGGAAACUGUUUGACUGGAGUGCAGGAGAGGUAAGUGGAAUUCCUAGUGUAGCGGUGAAAUGCGUAGAUAUUAGGAGGAACACCAGUGGCGAAGGCGGCUUACUGGACUGUAACUGACACUGAGGCACGAAAGCGUGGGGAGCAAACAGG
rnacentral:rRNA from 1 species